rnacentral:rRNA from 1 species
CCUACGGGUGGCAGCAGUGGGGAAUCUUGCGCAAUGGGCGAAAGCCUGACGCAGCGACGCCGCGUGAGUGAUGAAGGCCCUCGGGUUGUAAAGCUCUGUGAAGCGAGUUGCGGUACCUCUUUAGCAAGCACCGGCUAACUCUGUGCCAGCAGCCGCGGUAAGACAGAGGGUGCAAACGUUGUUCGGAAUUACUGGGCGUAAAGCGCGUGUAGGCUGUCUCGAAAGUCGGAUGUGAAAGCCCUGGGCUCAACCUAGGAAGUGCACUCGAAACUGCGAGACUCGAGUCCUGGAGAGGAAGGCGGAAUUCUCGGUGUAGAGGUGAAAUUCGUAGAUAUCGAGAGGAACACCGGUGGCGAAGGCGGCCUUCUGGCAUGACUGACGCUGAGACGCGAAAGCGUGGGGAGCAAACAGGAUUAGAUACCCUUGUAGUC